CCUACGGGUGGCAGCAGUAGGGAAUAUUGCUCAAUGGGGGAAACCCUGAAGCAGCAACGCCGCGUGGAGGAUGAAGGUUUUCGGAUCGUAAACUCCUUUUGUUAGAGAAGAUAAUGACGGUAUCUAACGAAUAAGCACCGGCUAACUCCGUGCCAGCAGCCGCGGUAAUACGGAGGGGGCAAGCGUGACUCGGAAGCACUGGGCGUAAAGAGCGCGUAGGCGGGUUAGCAAGUCAGAUGUGAAAUCCUAUGGCUUAACCAUGGAACUGCAUUUGAAACUGUUAUUCUAGAGGGUGGGAGGGGUAGGUGGAAGUCUUGGUGUAGCGGUAAAAUCCGUAGAGAUCAAGAGGAAUACUCAUUGCGAAGGCGACCUGCUAGAACGUAACUGACGCUGAUGCGCGAAAGCGUGGGGAGCAAACAGGAUUAGAUACCCGAGUAGUC
rnacentral:rRNA from 1 species